rnacentral:rRNA from 1 species
AUUGAACGCUGGCGGCAGGCCUAACACAUGCAAGUCGAACGGUAACAGGAAGCAGCUUGCUGCUUCGCUGACGAGUGGCGGACGGGUGAGUAAUGUCUGGGAAGCUGCCUGAUGGAGGGGGAUAACUACUGGAAACGGUAGCUAAUACCGCAUAAUGUCGCAAGACCAAAGAGGGGGACCUUCGGGCCUCUUGCCAUCGGAUGUGCCCAGAUGGGAUUAGCUUGUUGGUGGGGUAACGGCUCACCAAGGCGACGAUCCCUAGCUGGUCUGAGAGGAUGACCAGCCACACUGGAACUGAGACACGGUCCAGACUCCUACGGGAGGCAUCAGUGGGGAAUAUUGCACAAUGGGCGCAAGCCUGAUGCAGCCAUGCCGCGUGUAUGAAAAAGGCCUUCGGGUUGUAAAGUACUUUCAGCGGGGAGGAAGGGAGUAAAGUUAAUACCUUUGCUCAUUGACGUUACCCGCAGAAGAAGCACCGGCUAACUCCGUG